UGACCUGCGCCCUCUGCUCCAAUCUCCAUCGACUCUGACUCUGCUAGCUGCUGCUGCUGUUCUGGUGCUGUGGUUUCGUUUCUGAAUUCAGAGUGCGUGCGUUGUUGUUCCGUCGGUCUGUGUAGUUAGUGGAUGGCGAUGGAUCUGAAUGCAGUUAGUUCGUCAGAGUGCGUGUGUUGUCUGUGGAAGGAGAUAAAUAUGAAUGCAAUGGGAUUGUUGGUUUCUUCUAUUUGAAUCUGGUCACCACCAACUUGUUAUGCCACUAAAAAAUUUCUCAGCAGAGGAAGUUAGUUGCGGUAAUUUUCGUUUGGAUUUUCAUACCAUGCGCGCACAGAGAUCGAAAUAGGUAGGGGACUCUGUUUCUAUUUCGUUGUGCUGUCUGUUCCCAAACAUAGCUCCUCUGCAGCCGUAUGUCAACGAGGUGGAAGGGGAUGGCGGUCCAACUGACUCCAUCUGAAGAGGUGCUGCUGUUUAGAUCCUACUCCCUACAUGCCAGCUGGAGUAGCUGAAGUUUAUCUCUGAUGCAUCAUGAUCCUACUCCCUACUCUUGGCGUUGGAAUGCUGUACUUGGCGCCUGAUCAUGGAACCAGAUCCUCUAACAUUGCCAAGGAAAGUCAUCGUGCUACCGUGUUUGCCUAGUGUAAAAUAAAGAAAAAAAGUUAGGGACUGUUAUUAGGUAUAGUUAGUAGGUUGUUUACUCUUGGUAUUUACUGUAGAUAUAAAUAAUUUAAUUUUAAUUUUAUUUCACCAUCAAUUUGUUUGUACUCCCUCCAUUUCACAAUGUAGUGCUUCCUUUAUUCUUGUGCUUCAACUUUGACCGUAAAUUUAACUAACAAGACCGAUUGCGGCGGGAGCAAAAAUUAUAUCAGUGAAUUCGUAUUCGAAAGAAGUUUUCAAUUAUAUAAUUUUUUCUCCUGCCGUAGUUGGUUUCGUUGGUUAAAUUUAUGGUCAAAGUUAGAUCUCGGAAAGCGCGGGCGCACUAUAUUUUGGAAUGGAGGAAGUAUGUAAUUAAUAUAAAUGUACACAAUAGAUCAUCAAUUUGCAAAUUAAUUUAAAUCAUUUUAGCCAUAAUCAUAUGAAUAUAAAGAAGAAAAGUUAGCGCAUUGUACCUUCUCUAACUUUCCUUCUCAAUGUUAGAGGAUCCGGUUCCCCUGAUCAUGGGCUUCAUGAUGAAAAGGAAGCCGGAAGUGAUCUUUUCUGUAAUAAUAGUUGGUUACCCAGAAACGUUCUCUGAAUUUAUGUGUUAUUUUUGUAAUCAGAUACACUGUACUCCCUCCGUUCCUAAAUAAGUAGAUGAUGUUUGGUAGUUUAAUUUGAACUACCAAAACGUCAUGUAUUUAGGAGCGGACGAAGUAUGUUCUAAAAUUUGGUGAUGUCAAUUUUUUUAGUUCAGUUAAAUCAAAUGGUUAUAGAGUUGCACAUUGCUCAAUAUAAAAGCUCGCUAACUUGUAGUGACGUGAGAGAGAGAAAAAAAAAUCUUACAAUCAUCUUAUGCUACUACUUUGUCAGCUGCUAUUUUGCUUCCCCUAAAAAAAGUUGUUAUUUUGCUACAGGGACAUAAUUUUUAUCCUCUCUGAUGAUGUGUGCCCAAGGCCUCCAUGAGCUGGCUAACAUUUGAAUUUCAACCCUUUCAAAAGUUCUCUUAACAAAUGGACCUUUUCACUUCCUCACAAAAAAAAGACACAGAUUUUGAUCCAGUCAAGGAUAGGCCGAAUUAAAGUGAAACUAACAUUGUUUUCGAUAUGGUUCUACUACCUCUUAAGAAAUAAAGCAUCUCAAUUAUUCGUCUGAAAGACGGGGUGAAUUAUCACAUAGAGUUGGAACACGUCUCUUUACUGAUUGAUAGUAAGGUGUGGAAACCUUAAUGCUCGUCUAAUUAGGAUGGAAAUAUGAUAGUGCACAACAAGAUUGCUCAUACGAGGCAAAUUCUGGAAUUGUGUAUUGGAGUCAUUCAUUUCAAUUAUCCGCAGCUCAUAAUAAAGAUGACCUCUUUCUUACAAGCUGCGACAUUUGCUCGGGGCGAGCAAACCUUUUAUCUUGGGGGAGUUGAUUAGUCCAAUUUAUGUGAUAAUUUUGAUAGUUAUGUUGUGCCUACAUGUUAGGCUUUGAGGAGUUUUACCGCGUUCGUGCACUAAAUUUUCUCGGUAUUCCGCAGUGACGUCCUUUGGAGUAAAUAAAGUUUUAUGAAAGGAAUCCUAGAUAAUAGUGAACUGACCUGGACAAACAUAACCAAGGGGACAAGGGCUAGUUGCCAUGCAGCAAGAAGGUCAAGACAUAGCUGCAAAGCAAUAUGUUGCUUCAAUAAAUAUGUUGUAUAAUGAUAGAUUUACUAAGAAUUUGUUCAAUAAAUAUAUUGUUUUAACGAGUUGAAAGCUGUCGUUUUAGUAGUACUUGGAGCCCCCACCCGUAAUUAUCCCAUAAAACUCCAUCACUCAGAAAUAUGACGGGGAAAAGAAACUGAAAACAUUGAACAACAAAGAGGACAGUCGAUGCUAACCGACGUAAAACACAAUAGCUGCAGAGCAUAGGAUAAGAUGACCGACGGAGGAGAGGAGGUGGAGAAACAACAUCCGGACAUGAAGCCAGGACCGACACGAGGGGCGGCGCCGGGUGAAACAAGACAGACGGUGAUGGUGCGAGGGGGGAGGGGAGGAAGACGGAUCGGAGGAACAAAAGAAAAGAUACGUUAUAAAACCUGAAAUGUUUAAGGACUAAAGUGUAAAAGGAAAAAUAAUAAACAGAGAAAAUUUGGUUUAGGCAAAUAAAUAGAGAAAGUUUUUUUUGAGACAAAUAAACAGAGAAAGUGAAAACUUUUUUUUUGAAGCUAAGAAACUGAAAACUGGAAACAGGAAAACACGCGGCCGCUCUAUUUGGCUCUGUUCGGAAAAAAAAAGUGAAAGUGAAAAAUGCAAUUUCUAAUAUUUUAGGAAAAAAAAACAGAAAGCAAAGUCCAAGAAUAUUAGUAUAUGCUUGGCCCGCUUGUAUGCCGAGGCUUCAGCCCAGUCCAACCAACAGCGCCAACCCCCCACCACACCCGUUCCGCCGUCGCUCCGCCUCGUUUUCAAGCUGCCGCCGGAGAAGGACGCAUGCGAAGCACCGCCGCCGACCGCAUCGCCGUCGCCGUCGUCUCCAACGCACGCCUUCUCUACAAGGCAUGCUAGCUUUCCCCUUGUUUGUUUCUUGAUCCCCACUUGAUUUUUUUUCCAUUAGAAUUUGUUGCUUGCGUCAACGUUUCAUCGUCCUGAUCGAUUGAUACGCUGGCUGAACUUUGUUAUUAUUAGAGAUAGAGCCGCAGCUGUUCUCUACUUUGUAGUACAGUCCAUACGUCUUGCCACCAUUAAUUGCUGCGAGAAAGAGUUCCAGAUCGCGUUGCCACUUUGAUAGGGCCGGGCUAGAUUAGAUAUUUAGACUCCCACUUGAUUUAUUUUCUGUAUGUAAGAAAGAAUUUUGAACAUACUGCUAUGGGCCCUAGAUAUUGGAUCGAUGGUAAAUUGGGAAUCAUGGGAUCCAUUGAUCCUCUAUGACUAAGACUACCUCUAUCAGAUACAGAUAGAACUGUAUAGCUGUUCUCUUUGGUCUAUAUAUACAGAUGGAUGUGUUUUCCAUUGCCUUCAAGUAAUCAAUGGUAGCUUAGGGACAUGACAGACUGAGGCAAUGUUAUAAAUAUUUACCCCAUUUGAUUUUCGAUGUAAUUGUCAGCAGCAUAUUGUUUUUCAUGUCAGAGCGCAUAUAUGUUAUCGCUUCUCUACCUGUUGCCUUUUCAAAUGUUCACGUCAUUCUUCUAAUGUUUUUUCUUUUGAUUCAAAAUUUCUUUCAGAGAAGCUGCAGUCGCGGGUAACUCCAAGGUCUGCUGUGUUUGGGUCUGUCCCGUCUGAGGCUCUCAGCUAUGUCCACUCUUCAAGGUUGGCCAGACCUCCCGGAUGACCUGCUUCAUUCCAUUGUUCCUCGAUUGGGAUCCUUCCUUGACCUUCUUGCUUUUGCUGCCGCCUGCUCCUCUUGGCGUGCUGCCUUCUCCUCCUAUCCAUCCAAACACACACUCUUGCAAAUGUUGCCACCUCUCCUCCUCCAACCUGAUGUUCAUGAGUGCCCUCCUCGUCCUCGCCCAUUUAGCAACAGCCUCGUGCCUACACAUUCAUGCCAUGUCACUGAUUUAGCCAACCAAGGUACCUACAUGCGUUGUCAGAUUCCCCGGUUUUCUCCUUUUGGUGAGAGCAAAUCCCCACAAAGUCCUCUAGAUAGUUCUUAUUUUGGGGGUGUUUCCUAUGGUCAUCUCAUCUUGUUUAACCAAAAUCAAUCAUGUCUUGUUAUUGAUGUCUUUACUGGUGUUAGUUUCUCAACUCCGAAACUACCGGUCGAUGAAAACACUUUCCUGGACCAUGCUUCCCUCACGGCUCCUCUGACGUCACCCAACUCAUAUCUCAUGGUCACCAAAGGACGCCACUAUUUCUUUUGGCGUGUUGGUAGUAAAUCUUGGUUGAGACGUUCUCUUCACAAUGGAACGAUCGAGAAGGUCAUGGUUUUCAAAGGACAAAUAUUUGGCAUGGAUAAUGACUGCAGGCUCAUUAUCAUGAACUUGGUACCACGGAUCCGAAUACAGAAAAUAACAGUUGAUCCUGGUGAAAGCAUGCACAACAAAUGGCAUCUUCCCCACCCAUGGCUUGUUGCGUGCGGCGAUAUGCUUCUCCUGGUUGGUUGUCAUCGAUCUUUUCCAUCAACAGGGGAUACGUUUGAAGCUUUCCGCCUCGACCUAACGAGUGAACCUGCAAAGUGGAUGAAGGUGGAAAAGCUAGAAAAUUGGGCAAUCUUCAUCAGCACAGACGACAGAAGCCAGCCAUUGUGUUGCAUGAACCCAGAGAGAUGGGGAGGGAGGAGCAAUUCUAUAUACUUCUAUUUCCAUGAUUCUAAUAAUUGGAUCAAUUUUGAGCUGGACAAGCCACUGCAGGGAAAUGCCUCUACUCCAACAAUCUUUAUCUGCAGAGGCCGUGCCAGUAUGAUGCAACCUACAUGGGUUGUGCCUAGUAUGUUCUAUUCGUGACCUGCUUGAUGCAUGGUCUAUUCAUGACCUGCUUGAUGCAUGGUUAUUACUGCUCGCCGUGGUAGCUUCCCCUAUAAGAUGCCUUGACUUUUAUAUAGGUCUAGCCCAAAGAAAUUUUGAACCUUUGAUAUAGUUGUAGUAUAACCAUGUCAGAUGUAAUUGGAAUAUGGAGUUGUCGGAGCCAAUUUUUAGCCUCUUAGCUCAGCAUGCAUGAAAAUGUUGUUUCAAUUUAUUUUAAGCAAGCUCUCAGCUUGUUCCGAAAAUUUGCUCUUCGAGUAGAGAACAGAACAGUGGCUCAUUUGCAGUUAUGUAGGAGAUGGUCACGGUAGCCGGAGCACUGAGGAUUUUGCAGUUAGUUCAUCCUUGAGGGCUUACUCAAGCUUAUGCGCAUAUAAGACAUGUGUUUAGACCUUAUAAAAGAUGUGUUUAUGCUAGCAUAAGGGCUUAGGGGAUUUCUAACCGAUCCUCAAUAACCAGUUAGAGGAGUAAAAACCCGGUUUUACUUCUCUAACCGGCACCUAGCCGAUCCCCAAUCAACGCUAGUGGAGGAUAAAUUAUCCUCAGCCGCGCCACGCCUCCCUAUAUUUACUCCAUUAUACGGUGGUCGAGUAAAAAAAAUCUCACUUCGUCUCCUCUUCCUCUCCGCUUCCUCCGCUUCUUCUUCUCCCUAUAUUUACUCCAUCAUACGGUGGUCAAGUAAAAAAUGUCCUUACUCAAGCUUAUGCGCUUUCUCACCUCUCAGUUAGCCUUGCUGUUCACUACUCUAUUUUUUUUGCGGGUGCACUACUCAUUCUUUUGCUGUAACGGGCAGGUUUGAACUGCAGUUUUGAGGCAUGUUGGGAGUGGGGCUUUGUGAAUUUUGUGCGCGAGCAAGGGGUUCUUCUUCAGGUGCAUGGUUUCGUUUCAGGUUCGCGUGUCAAACUGAUGACGGAACCAUGCAUAUCGUGUUUUAUGCAAUAUAUAAACUUGAAUAAUAUCAUGCGAAAAGUCUGCCCCAGCAGUCGAUGGUUGUGUUUCCUCGGUUUUGCCACGGAAGCUGGAAUGGGUAGUGUAAUUUUUGAAACUGACGCCGCCGAUCUGAAAGAAGCGGUAAUGACCAUGAUCUUUCAGCGAAGAGGCACUAAUUUCGCCUGCAAAGUUGUAUAUGUGUUCUAAGUGACUAGAGCAUCUCUAGCAGAUCUUGUAAAUCGGGUCAUUUGAAAUAAUAACAACCAAUAUAGCGGACGAGUGCGUUUUUUUUGCCUAAAACAUAUCCAGCAAAAUCAUCCGUCCCCUAUUUUUUUUUGGAAUCCCGCAUAGUUUGGGCCAUUUCCUCUAUAUAUGCGGAAAUCAGACCUGUUUUUGUGGAUUCCUGUAUCGCACAGAAGCAGUUGGCGGGAGUGAAACUUCCGCCCUAGCUUGGCCGGCUGCGUCCACUGCAGGAGCCCGUCCUGGCCGUUGCGUCCCCGUGCUCAAGGUCCGCUGUGCCCCGAGCUCUGUCGUAGGAGCCCGUCCUGGCCGCCACGCUCCUGAGCUCCACCGCACCAACCCGUCCCAGACGCCGCGUCCCCGUGCUCGAGGUCCACCGCGCAAGCCCAUUCCGGCCUCCACGUCCCCGAGCUUCGCCGCAGGAGCCCGUCCGGGCCGCCGCGCCCCCAAGCUCCGCUGUAGGACCCCCUCCCGGCCGCCGCGCCCCCGAGCUCCCCUGCGGGAGCCCGUCCUGGCCGCCGCGUCCCAGUGCUCGAGGUCUGCCACGCCCUUGAGCUCUGCCACGUCCCCGUGCUCGAGGUCCACCACGCCCUUGAGCUCCGCCGCGUCCCUGAUCAGCGUGCUUGCAUCGAAUGGCUUGCUCACAGUGAUAAAAACACCUAUUUUCUCCAUCCAAGGGCGAGCCAGCGCUGCAGGAAAAAUCAAAUUAAGUUUCUCCAAAGACCGGAUGUCAGUGUAACUGAGGACAACACGGAGAUGGAAGAGAUGGUCACGAUUUUUUACUGCACACUCUACACCUCUGGAGGUGUGACUGAUAUUGAUCAAGUUCUAAAUACAGUUCCAGGGAAGGUUACUCCGGCGAUGAAUGAUAUUCUUAAUGCAAAGUACACUCAGGAGGAGAUUAAGGUAGCCAUGUUCCAGAUGUUCCCAACAGAAGCACCAGGUCCAGAUAGGUUCUCAGCCACUUCUUUCAGCGUCACUGGGAUGUUUGUGGGACUGUUGUCAGAACAGUGAUACUUCGAAUUAUUAAUGGAACUGAGCUAGUGAAGAGCAUUAAUGAGACUAUUUUAGUGCUAAUACCAAAGGUAAAGAACCCCACAUUAUUGUCUCAGAUCAGGCCAAUUUCUCUAUGUAAUGUUUUAUGCAAGAUUGUUUCCAAAGUCAUAUCAAACAGAUUGAAGCAAGUUCUACUUGACAUCAUGCAUGUCUGAUGAGCAGCCAACUUUUGUUCCAGGUAGACUUAUCAUGGAUAACAUAAUCAUUGCUUAUGAAUGUCUUCAUUUUAUGAAAAGAAAUAGGGCCAAGAGAAAUAGGUUUUGUGAACUCAAGUUGGAUAUGAUGAAAGCCUAUGAUAGAGUGGAGUGGGACUAUUUACAUGCAAUAAUGAUAAAGCUCGGCUUCACAAUGAGGUGGGUUAAUAUAGUCUUGAGUCUGGCGAUAUCAGUUAAGCUCUCAGUUUUAUUCAAUGGGAAGAAGCUACAAUAGUUUACACCAUCACAUGGUAUUCGACAGGGAACCCAAUUUUUCCAUAUCUAUUCUUGAUUGUAGCAGAGGGCCCUUCGUGCCUCUUAAAAUUUAUCGAUGAGUCAUCCAACCUUACUGGCAUUCGGAUGGCCCCAUUGACGCCACCGGCUAACCAUUUAUUAUAUUCACUGAUGAUAGCCUCGUGUUUUUAAAGCUAGUCUAACUGGGGCUAAUGAGGUAAACUUGUUGAAUAGGUAUUGUCGGGCUUCUGGAGAACACAUAAACAAUGAGAAAUCUUUGAUCUAUUUCAGUUUGGGCUGUCCGAAAAAGUGUGAGGUUGGAAGUUAAGAACGUACUACAAGUUCCAAAUGAGUCACUGAGUGCAAAAUAUAUAAGCCUUCUUGUUGGGAAACGUUGCAUGGAAAACAUAAAAAUUCUACGCACACACAAGAUCUAUCUAUGGAGAUGCAUAGUAACUAGAGGGAAGAGUUUUUUUACGUACCCCCGUAGACCGUAAGUGGAAGCUUUUAGUAAUGCGGUUGAUGUAGUUGAACUUGUUCGUGAUCCAACCGAUCGAGUACCGAACGUACGACACCUCCGCGUUCAGCAUACGUUCAGCUCGGUGACGUCCUCGCCUUCUUGAUCCAACAAGACGACGAAGUAGUGGAUGAGUUCCGGUAGCACGCCAGCGUGGUGAUAGAGGUGGUGAUGCUAUCUCCGCAGGGUUCGCCUAAGCAUUACGAAAAUAUGACCGAGGGACAAAACUAUGAAGAGGGACACCUCACAUAGCUAAGAGAUUGUCGUGGUUAUGUGUGGCGCCCCCUCCCACAUAUAUAUAGGUGGGGGGAAGAGGGGAGUAGCCAGGAGGCGCCCCAAGUAGUAGGGCCGAAUCCUACUUGGGCUCUUGCCUUGGCCGCCCCCCUUACCAUAUAUGCCGGAGGGGGAAAGGAAAGUGGGGAGAGGGAAGGAAGGGGGAGGCCGAAUCCCCCUCCUGCCUUUCUCCCAUAGGCCGGCUGCCAUAGGGGGGUGCACCAGCCCCUUGUGGGCUGGUGUGCUCCCCUCUAAUGGCCCAAUAGGCCCAUCAUCCUCCCGGGGGUGCCCGGAACCCCUUCCGAUGAUCCGAUGACUACCCGGUGCACUACGAAACUCUUUCGGUGUCUGAAUAUCAUCGUCUUAUAUAUCAAUAUUUACCUCCGGACCAUUCCGGAGCUCCUCGUCAUGUCUGUGAUCUCAUCUGGGACUUCGAACAAUAUUUGGUCACCAAAUCAUAUACUCCCUCCGUUCACUUUUGUAAGUCGUUUCAGACAACCCAAAAUAGGCUGUUUUGCACAUUGUCUGAAAUCUCUUCAAGGUCUUAUAAAAGUGAACAGAGGGAGUAACUCAUAUAACACCAUAUCGUCAAUGAACGUUAAGCAUGCGGAUCCUACGGGUUCGAGAACUAUGUAGACAUGACCGAGACACCUCUCCGGUUAAUAACCAACAGCGGAACCUAAACGCCCAUUUUGGCUCCUACAUAUUCCAUGAAGAGCUUUAUCGGUCGAACCUUAUGACAACAUACGUAAUUCCCUUUGUCCGUCGGUAUGUUACUUGCCCGAGAUUCGAUCGUCGGUAUCUUCAUACCUAGUUCAAUCUCGUUACCGGCAAGUCUCUUUACUUGUUCGGUAAUACAUCAUCUCGUAACUAACUCCUUAGUCACUUUGCUUGCAAGCUUCUUGUGAUGUGUAUUACCGAGUGGGCCUAGAGAUACCUCUCUGAUAUAUGGAGUGACAAAUCCUAAUCUCGAUCUAUGCCAACUCAACAAACACCUUCGGAGAUACCUGUAGAGCAUCUUUAUGAUCACCCACUUACGUUUGUGAUGUUUGAUAGCACACAAGGCAUUCCUCCGGUAUCCAGAAGUUGCAUAAUCUCAUAGUCUAAGGAAUAUGUAUUUGACAUUAAGAAAGCAAUAACAAUAAACUGAAUGAUCAAAUGCUAAGCUAACGGAUGGGUCUUGUCCAUCACAUCAUUCUCCUAAUGAUGUGAUCCUGUUACCAAGUGACAACACAUGUCUAUGGUUAGGAAACCUUAACCAUCUUUGAUCAACGAGUUAGUCUAGUAGAGGCUCACUAGGGACACGGUAUUUGUUUAUAUAUCCACACAUGUAUCUAAGUUUCCAAUCAAUACAAUUAUAGCAUAAAUAAUAAUCUUUUAUCAUGAAUAAGGAAAUAUAAAAUAACAACUUUAUUAUUACCUCUAGGGCAUAUUUCCUUCACUUCCAUCAUGUGGGGUCAUCAAAGAACGGUUCAUUUAAGUACCUGAUAUGUCUCCAAUGUAUCUAUAAUUUUUGAUUGUUUCAUGCUAUUAUAUUAUCAAUCUUGGAUGCUUUAUAUGCAAUUUUAUAUCAGUUUUAGGAACUAACCUAUUAAUUCAGUUCCCAGUGCCAGUUCCUAUCUUCUGCAUGUUUUUAGUUUUUUUAGAAAAUCAAUACCAAACAAAGUCUAGAUACGAUGAAACUUUACGGUGAUUUGUUCUGGACCAUAUGGGACCCUAGAAGCUUCGGGAGGAGGCCAGAAGAUCUACGGGAGAGCCACAAGCUCACACGACGCGCCCCGAGGGGGGGCACCAUCUGAGCUUGUGGGUCCCACGUAGCUCCGUUUGACUUAAUGACAAGGCUAUAAAUUACAUAAAUCCCAAAACCAAAAUAGAGCCGUCCGAAACAAUUUUUUCACCGCCGCAAGUUUCUGUUCUUCCGCGAUCCCAUCUGAAGGCAUUUUUUGAUACUCUGCCGGAGGGGGAAUCAUUCACGGAGGGCUUUUAUAUCAACUUUUCUGCACCACUAAUGAUGUGUGAGUAGAUACCUACGGGUGCAUAGUGAUUAGCUAGAUGGUUUCUUCUCUCUCUUUGAUUUUCAAUUACAAUGUUCUUUUUGGAGAUCGAUCCGACGUAAUCUUCUUGCGGUGUGUUUGUUGGGAUCCGAUGAAUUGUGGGUUUAUGAUUGUAAUAUUCAUUAAAAGUAAUUGAGUUUUUUCUGAACUUUAUUAUGGAUGAUUAUUAUAUCUUUAUAUUUCUCUCUGAUCUACCCAUUUGGUUUGGCCAACUAGGCUGAUUUGUCGUCGAUGGGAGAGGUGCUUUAUAGUGGGUUCAAUCUUGCGGUGUCCUCGCCAGUGAGUAGGGGUAUCGAGGCACGUAUUUGUAUUGUUGCCACUAAGGGUAAAACAAUGGAUUUAAUCAUAUUGCUUGGUUUUAUUCUAUCUACAUUAUAUCAUCUUUCUUAAAGCAUUACUCUAUUUAUUAUGAACUUAAUACAAUAGAUGCAUGCUGGACAACGGUCGAAUGGUGGAGUGAUAGUAGUAGAUGUAGAAUCGUUUCAGCCUACUUGUCAUGGACAUAAUGCCUAUAUAUAUGAUCAUUGCCAUAAAUAUCAUCAUAACUAUGACCUUUUCUAUUAAUUGCCCAAUUGUAAUUUGUCUACCCACCAUAUACUAUUUUUCUAAGAGAGAAGCCUCUAGUGUAAACUAUGGCCCCCGAGUCUACUUAAAUCAUAUUGCAAAAAAACCUAGUUUUACUCUUUUUAUUUUACUUUGCAGUUUACUUAUCUGUCGUUAUCAGAUUUGAUCCUUGCAAGUAACGAGUUCAAGGGGAUUGACAGACAACCCUCUUGCCCGCAUUGGAUGCAAGUAUUUGCUCUUGUGUGUGUAGAUAAUGUUCACUAGGAAUUUGCAUGGUUCUCCUAUUGAUUCAAUAACCCUGGUUCUCAUUGAUGGAAAUACUAUCUACUACUAUAUUGCUUCAUCUUCCUCUUCGGAGAAAAUCCCAACGCAGCUCACAAGUAGCAGUACCUUAAGGACUACCUAUGGAGUAAAGUGCAAGGGUGAAUUGAACAAACUAUGACAUUGGCAGGUGAAGUGGUCUUGGUAAAGGCGGUUGCCUUGCAGCACCUGUGUAUUCUAUGUCAUGUUUGAAGCUUCCGUGAGGUUUGUGUGAACAUCUUAAAAUGUUGAUAAGGAAGUUUUGGUGGGGAAGUAAGGAUGGAAAACAAAAACCUAAUUGGGUUUCUUGCGAAGCCAUGACCCAACCCAAGAGUAUGGGAGGAUUGGGCUUUAAAGAUUUUGGGUUGUUUAACUUGGCCUUACUAGCUAAGCAGGCAUGGAGAACUUACGAAAUCCUCAAUCUCUAAGUGCUAGAAUCUUGAAAGGGGUUUACUUUCCAAAUGGAACCAUCCUGAGUGCCGAUCCUAGGAGCCAUCCUAGCCAAAUAUGGCGAGCUAUCAUUGGAGGCUGUGACAUAUUAAAGUUGGGUCUCAUUAGGCGGAUUGGCGGCGGAGAAUCAACUAACAUAUGGGUAGAUGCUUGGAUACCUACAGAUGUUAUGACGAGGCCUUAUGGGAGGCGUGUCAACAACAAUUUUGGGAAAGUAUCCGAACUCAUAGAUCAAACUUCGACCACAUGGAAUAUGGCAAUGUUGGAGGAGGUCUGCCUCCCAAUUGAUAUACCAUGUAUCUUGAGUAUCCUACUCUGUACUUCUGAUAUGGUGGACUCUUGGGCAUGGAAUUUUAAGAAAUGGAACCUACUCGGUAAGAUCAACAUAUCAUAUGAUGGUACAAACUGAAUUAAGAAGGGGAGCCUGGACUGAUGGCAAAACAGAUUCUUCUAGUACAUAAUAUGAUGAAGAGUCUUGGAAACUUCUAUGGAACACUCCGAUUCCUAGAAAGAUUCGGAUGGUCUUAUGGCGUCUCGCUAAACACUCGCUCCCAAUAGAGGACAUUAGAGAGAUUAGGAAUAUGUCAUCAUCAAGUUUGGGUGGCCUGCGUGGAGCCGAAGACUCUUGGCGUCAUUCACUACUUGCAUGCUCAAUGGCAAGAUGUUUGUGGGCCCUGUUGGAUGGAGAACUCGCAGAACAUCUUUGCGAGACUACCGAACCGAGUGCCAAGUAAUGGAUCUUUUUGAUGAUAGACACGUUAUUGCAUGCGACAUUUGUUAAGCUAGUUGUAACACUGUGGGCAAUAUAGUGAGCCAGAAGGAAAGCAAUCCAUGAGGAGUUGUUCCAAAGCCCUCCAGCCACACACCAAUUCAUUACCAGGUUAAUCCUAGAGCUUGAACUUAUGCCAAAGAAAAUUCGCAGUGCCCGAAUCGGCAGGCAAGUCGAACUACCCGACCAAAAGCUCCUCCACCCAGUUACUCAAAGAUCCAUGUUGAUGCUUGUUGAGGAGAGGAGAAGGAAUGGGAUUCAACACACUUCGAUUAUGCUCAGAGGCUGGGUUUAAGUAUAGGUUGCUGUUCUCAGCUGAGCCAAGAUCGUGGGUAUGCCACUACCUCAGGACGUGCACCACUAGCUAUACAACUGCUGCACGAUCCGUACUAUACCGUAUGGUAAACUAUACAAGGUGCAUACGGUAUAUAACUACCUAGUCUAACACCCCUCGCAGUCGUGACGUCGGUACCAGCGACGCAAAGACUGGACCGGAAUUCAGAG
rnacentral:lncRNA from 1 species